CAGUUGAUUCCGAUUGAGUUGUUCACCUUCACCCACCGCGAAACAAGAAUCAGCAGGAUUAGUUGGACGCGCGGAAGGAUGAGACAGUGAUCCACACGCGCCACAAGUAACCGUCGUGGGCCGGUCACAGUUGUUGAGUUCUGAGUUCUGACAGCAUCCCAAUACAGCACCUCGUGCUGCGUGCAGAGAGAAGAUCUGGCCCCACAGCCAUGACUACAAACUAGAAAGCCAAUAAAAUGAAUCCUCCGUCGCCUUCCCCUGCUUCUCCCUCUGUCUCAUCCUCUUCUUAUACUCCCGUUUCCUGGUUCUCUGGGAUCGUCAGGGGCGGCCGUCCCGAUAGGUCUUCCAGCUUAAAAAUGUCCGCUAACUCCACGGUUGCCGCCACCGCUGACUUUUCCGGUCCUAUCGUCCGCAAAAAUCAGUUCCGUGGGGUACUCUUCAAGUACGGUCCAAAUCCUAUUCAGGUUGCAUUUAAGACUGGCGAUUACAAACGGCAAGUCGUUUUUAUUGGUGGAUUGACCGAUGGUUUUCUUGCUACUCCCUACUUGGAACUUCUCGCAAAUGCCUUGGACCGUGAAAAUUGGUCACUGGUUCAAUUCCUUAUGUCAUCUUCUUACAGUGGAUAUGGCACCUCAAGCUUGCAACAAGAUGCUAAAGAGGUGGAUCAGCUGAUUAAUUAUCUAAUUAACAAACAAGAUUCCGAAGGUGUGGUAUUACUUGGGCAUAGUACUGGUUGUCAGGAUAUUGUGCAUUACAUGCAAACAAAUUUUGCUUGCUCCAAAGCUGUUCGUGCUGCCAUCUUGCAGGCUCCAGUCAGUGACAGGGAAUAUCGAGCGACACUCCCUGAGACAGCUUCUAUGAUUGACUUGGCGGCUAAAAUGAUAAGUGAAGGCCGAGGUUCAGAAUUAAUGCCAAGAGAAGCAGAUCCUUGUUCUCCAAUAACUGCAUACAGAUAUCACUCCCUUUGUGCAUAUAAUGGUGAUGACGACUUGUUCAGUUCCGAUCUGAGUGAAGAUCAGUUGAGGAUGAGGCUUGGACACAUGUCUAGCACACAUUGCCAGGUUAUAUUUUCAAUGGCAGAUGAAUAUGUGCCAGAUUAUGUCAAUAAGAAGGAACUUGUUGAACGAUUAUGCAGAGCAAUGGGGGGUGCAGAGAAAGUAGAAAUUGAAUAUGGAAACCACUCACUCUCUAACAGAUCUGAAGAAGCUGUCCUAGCUAUCAUUGAUUUCUUAAAAAGAGAAGGACCCAAGGGCUGGGAUGAUCCAUGGAAUUAGUGUCUUUUAGCUCUCCACUGCAGCAUUCCCUUAUUAUUAUUGGUUCUCAUGAUUCCGGAUUUAGUGAUAUUAUGUGAUGGAAACGUGUAGUAGACCAAGAUUGGCAUGAAGGAAGAACAUGCAGUAUGUACUUUUCCUGCAUAAAAAAUUCUGUACCACAAGACCAAGAUUGGCAUGGGAAUUAAGUAAUUAACAAACUACUUAAUGCAAAUAUGCAAUCAUGGCGACCAACGCAACAGGGAGUGCUAUUUUUUCAACCAAACAAAUUGUAUAGUAGCAGCAAGUGAUAUUUGGUUCCAGCUUUGCUUUAUCCUUGUGGUAUGUCAUUCCCUUGCUUUUCUUGUCAAGUGAUGGCAAAUUGGCAAGUAAUUGUUCGGUGGGGUGGGUACCAACUGAACAGUAGCCGGUGGGGUCAAAGAUAGACAUUGGACCGUUGAAUUUUGUUAGAAGUAUGAACCAAAAAAUUUUAUAUAGUACUUUGACCUAACUCUCAGUGUAAUGUGUAAUCUGAGUUGAAAAGAGGUGUGUAUGUCGUUGCACUGUAACUCACUUGACUUGGGCUAUGGACGUUGGUUAGUGGCAUUGGUUAGGGAGAAUGUUUGGAAUGAGAGCGCCUACCAUGCUGAUGCUGCUGGGACCUAUCUUUAACAACAUUACUAAAUACAUUUACUCGCAAUAAUUAAGCACUAACCACCAGCUGUGCUAGGCUAAGCAGAAUUAAAUUAGUGCCUGCCUUUGCCGUUGCACUGUCUGUGAACUAGCUGUGUCCGUCUAUUGCAUUCACAUCUCAAUGUAGCUUCUCACAGUUCAUCCAUGCAUUAAAAUUGGAAAAUUAAAACCCCACAAAAAUACAUGUUUGCCAUUCUUUUUCUAUUACUUAUUACCAAGGAUCAUGAAUAACAUGUGCAUCUUCUGAAGCAAUACGACUUUUCAUCAAACUUUUU